rnacentral:rRNA from 1 species
GUGCGCCUUAUGCAUGCAAGUCGAGCGAAGCUUUUCAGUAGUUUACUACAGAAAAUGACUGAGCGGCGAACGGGUGAGUAACGCGUGAGCAAUCUACCUUAGUUACAGGGAUAGCCCGAGGAAACUCGGAUUAAUACCUGAUAUUCUUUACAUUUCGCAUGAAAUCAAAAGGAAAGGUCAGCCGAACUAAGAUGAGCUCGCGUUCUAUCAGCUAGUUGGUGAGGUAAAAGCUCACCAAGGCAACGACGGAUAGCUGGUCUGAGAGGACGAUCAGCCACACUGGGACUGAGACACGGCCCAGACUCCUACGGGAGGCUGCAGCAGGGAAUAUUGCGCAAUGAGCGAAAGCUUGACGCAGCGACACCGCGUGUGGGAUGACGGAUCUAGGUUUGUAAACCACUUUCAGGAGGGAAGAAAAUGACGGUACCUCCACAAGAAGCCCCGGCCAACUACGUGCCAGCAGCCGCGGUAAUACGUAGGGGGCGAGCGUUGUCCGGAUUUAUUGGGCGUAAAGAGCUCGUAGGCGGUUCAACAAGUCGGUCGUAAAAGUUCAGGGCUCAACCCUGAAAUGUCGAUCGAUACUGUUGUGACUAGGAUACGGUAGAGGUGAGUGGAAUUCCGAGUGUAGCGGUGAAAUGCGUAGAUAUUCGGAGGAACACCAAUUGCGAAGGCAGCUCACUGGGCCGCUAUCGACGCUGAGGAGCGAAAGCUAGGGGAGCAAACAGGAUUAGAUACCCUGGUAGUCCUAGCUGUAAACGAUGGAUACUAGACGUAGGAACUGGAUUGACGGUUUCUGUGUCGUAGCUAACGCGUUAAGUAUCCCGCCUGGGGAGUACG